UUGCCCAAUAAAAUUUUAAGUGAUGCCACAUCAGCUUUACAUUGUAAUGAAGGUACAUGAUAAGACUUUUUAAUGAAAAGUUUAAUUAUUGCACACAAGUCCCUCAUAAACUUAACAAUUAUUUAGAAUAAUUUACAAAUUUACAAAUAAAAACAAGUUUUAAUUGUCAUUUAAAAUUAGUUAGAUAAAAAUUUACAAUGUGUUUUAUUUGACAAAAUUUAUUUUGUAAUUGAAAACCCUAAAGCCGACCCAUUCUUCAUCCUCCAUCGUAUUGUUCUUUCUUCUUCAUCCCUGAAUUCCACCUGUUCUUCAUCCUCCAUCUUCUCCAUCUUCUCCGUCGUGUUAUCUUUGUACUUCAUCUUCUCCAUCGUAUUCUUUUUUGUCCUCAUAGACCGUUCGAUCUUAUUGUAACUCUUCCAUUGUCGUUCUACUGGUUUGAAGCAUUACUGCAACGUCCUCGUGUCCUGUCACAGAUAUGUUGUUCGCAAAAUUAUCUUUAUUUUAAUUUUCAUUGAAUUGGGGUAUUUAUUGUUAGCCAGAAAACGAUCGAUUUGGAAUUAGGUUUGUAUUUAAAAUCGAAAUUGAUUUGUUACCCAGAAACGAUCAAUUUGGGGAUUAGGGUUGUAUUUAAAAUUGACUAUGAUUGUAGUUGUUACCCAGAAAAUUAUGGAAUUGGGGAUUAGGGUUGUAUUUAAAAUUGACUAUGAUUGUAGUUGUUACCCAGAAAAUUAUGGAAUUGGGGAUUAGGGUUUGUAUGUUUCAAAUGAUUAAAUUCUGAAUUUGAAGAUAUUAUAUUGAAAAGUUUAAUCAAAAGUGAAUGUGUAGUGUUUGAUUUGAAUUGGAAAUUUACAUGUUGAUACUGUGUUAACACUUUGUAUGUGUUUCAUUUGAAUAGCUGCUGUUGUGAAGUCAACUAUGAUUUCUCUACUGAGAAAACGCAUGGUCUGAUAUUCUCAGUAUAGAAAGGAAACAACGGAGAAAACAAUUGACAAGUUUGAAGUUGAAGGGCUUAGCAUAGGAAAUUGUUGCAUAGGAAAUAGUUGCCUGUAAAAUUGAGAUAAGCUCAACUAGUUUAUACAACAAUGAUCUAUAUUUAAGCUGAGUAAUAAUGUAAAGCAUUGUGUUACAAUUCAAGUUUGGAUGAAUAUGCACCAUAGAAGAGUUAGAGAUGAAGGAGAGCAGGUGAAAGCUAACGUUAGGUUUCAUUAGCCAGACAAAAGAGGUAUUUUUUGUUUGGUGCGUCUACUUGGCCUGGGAGGAGAAGGUCUUCUCAUUUUGAAGAAUAUGAAGUUGAGAAGAGGAGCAGGUGUUUAGGAUUGCAACUGAAGCUAGGAAGUAAAAUUAAGUUGCUUUCUUCCUUUGUGUUGUAAUCGAAAUUAAUGGUAACUGAACGGUUGGAGUUAAUAGUAGGAGUUAAUAGGUUGUAGGUUAUUUUGGAAGUUGAAACAUUUUGCUUGUGGCUUGUAAAACAUGAUUAGGGUAGGUUUUUGUGUGCUCAAUGUAAAUUGUAACAUGGAUUAGCGUGACUCAAAAAUAAUGAACUCUUCAAUUUUCAUUAGGUAAAU